rnacentral:rRNA from 1 species
CGGGCCUACGGGACGCAGCAGUGAGGAAUAUUGGUCAAUGGUCGGGAGACUGAACCAGCCAAGCCGCGUGAGGGAGGAAGGUACAGAGUAUCGUAAACCUCUUUUGUCAGGGAACAAAGACUGGGACGCGUCCCCGGAUGAGUGUACCUGAAGAAAAAGCAUCGGCUAACUCCGUGCCAGCAGCCGCGGGAAUACGGAGGAUGAGAGAGUUAUCCGGAUUUAUUGGGUUUAAAGGGUGCGCAGGUGGUUUGUUAAGUCAGCGGUCA